AGCGGAGGAAAAGAAACUAACAAGGAUUCCCCUAGUAACGGCGAGUGAAGCGGGAUGAGCUCAAAUUUGAAAUCUGGCCGGUUUACUGGUCCGAGUUGUAAUUUAAAGAAGCGUUUUCGGUGACAGGCCGGGUAUAAAUCCUUUGGAACAGGGUAUCAUAGAGGGUGAGAAUCCCGUCUUUGACCCGGCUGUUGUUACUAUGUGAUACGUUUUCAAAGAGUCGAGUUGUUUGAGAAUGCAGCUCAAAAUGGGUGGUAAAUUUCAUCUAAGGCUAAAUAUUGGCGAGAGACCGAUAGCGAACAAGUACCGUGAGGGAAAGAUGAAAAGAACUUUGAAAAGAGAGUUAAACAGUGCGUGAAAUUGUUGAAAGGGAAACGUUUGACACCAGCUAUGUAGGCGGAAAAUCAGUCAAGAGCAGUGAGGGGCUGGUGCUUGUCCGGACCGUAAGGCCGGCUUGUAUCUCAUCUUUGCUGUUAAUGAUGCACUUUUCCGUUCGCAGGUCAACAUCAGUUUCGCUUGCUGGACAAAACCCCGAGAGAAGGUAGCAGCUUAGGCUGUGUUAUAGCUCUGGGGCGAUACAGUGGGUGGGACUGAGGAUUCGCAGUGUGUGCUUUCGGGCAAGGUUGACUGGGUGCUCUGGGAUUGUUUGGCGUACAAUGCUUGCAUUUUGCGUCUUGUCUUUUUCAUACUCGCUCAGAUCGGCUCUUCCACGCUUAGGAUGUUGACUUAAUGGUUUUAAACGACCCGUCUUGA
rnacentral:rRNA from 2 species